rnacentral:tRNA from 1 species
GGGCCACUAGCUUAAAAGUAAAGCGUCCGGUUCUUACCCGGAAUAACACGGAGCAUUACCGUGGUGGCUCU